rnacentral:tRNA from 1 species
GGCUUGUUAGCUCAAUUGGAAGAGCGCUGCACUUGUAUUGCAGAGUUUAGUGGUUCGAAUCCCGUACAGGCCU